rnacentral:rRNA from 1 species
CCCGCCUGCCCAGUGAAACUUUUUAACGGCCGCGGUAUUCUAACCGUGCAAAGGUAGCGUAAUCACUUGUCUUCUAAAUAAAGACCAGUAUGAACGGCUAAAUGAGGACAAACCUGUCUCCAAUAACUAAUCAGUGAAACUGAUCUUCCAGUACAAAAGCUGGGAUAUACACAUAAGACGAGAAGACCCCGUGGAGCUUAAAACAAAGUACUA